rnacentral:misc_RNA from 1 species
UCCCGCUUACACGGGCAGUCUCUCAUGAGUUCCCACCUUUAAGUGCUGGCAACAUAAGACGAGGGUUGCGCUCGUUGGCGGACUUAACCCAACAUCUCACGACACGAGCUGACGACAACCAUGCGCCACCUGUCACCACUGUCCCCGAAGGGAAAGACUUAUCUCUAAGCCGGUCAGUGGGAUGUCAAGACCUGGUAAGGUUCUUCGCGUUGCUUCGAAUUAAACCACAUGCUCCACCGCUUGUGCGGGCCCCCGUCAAUUCCUUUGAGUUUCAGCCUUGCGGCCGUACUCCCCAGGCGGAGUGCUUAAUGCGUUAGCUGCAGCACUAAAGGGCGGAAACCCUCUAACACUUAGCACUCAUCGUUUACGGCGUGGACUAC